GUGAGGAAUAUUGCGCAAUGGAGGCAACUCUGACGCAGCCAUGCCGCGUGCAGGAAGAAGGCGCUACGCGUUGUAAACUGCUUUUAACCGGGAAGAAACCCCAGGACGUGUCCUGGGUUGACGGUACCGGAGGAAUAAGCACCGGCUAACUUCGUGCCAGCAGCCGCGGUAAUACGAAGGGUGCAAGCGUUAUCCGGAUUCAUUGGGUUUAAAGGGUGCGUAGGCGGAGCGUUAAGUCAGUGGUGAAAUCCUGCAGCUUAACUGUAGACUUGCCAUUGAUACUGGCGCUCUUGAGUGCGCUUGAAGUGGGCGGAAUGUGCCGUGUAGCGGUGAAAUGCGUAGAUAUGGCACAGAACACCAAUUGCGAAGGCAGCUCACUAAGGCGAUACUGACGCUGAGGCACGAAAGCGUGGGGAUCGAACAGGAUUAGAAACCCGAGUAGUCC
rnacentral:rRNA from 1 species